rnacentral:rRNA from 1 species
UCUAGCGAGACUGCCGGUAAUAAACCGGAGGAAGUGGGGAGUGACGUCAAAUCAUCAUGCCCCUUAUGACCUGGGCCACACACGUGCUACAAUGGUUGGUACAACGAGUUGCGAGUCGGUGACGGCGAGCUAAUCUCUUAAAGCCAAUCUCAGUUCGGAUUGUAGGCUGCAACUCGCCCACAUGAAGUCGGAAUCGCUAGUAAUCGCGGAUCAGCACGCCGCGGUGAAUACGUUCCCGGGCCUU